GCCGAGUCGGUCAAUACUCCGGGCAACGCGGCGGUGAGAGCACGACGGUGGUCGCUCGUAAGCGCGCCGUGCCGUCACUCGAGAGAGCCAGUGUGCCACCUCGAGAUUCCUUCGUUCGCGGACACAUCAAAGAGACAUAUACACCUCCUCUGACCGUCUAUAUACUAGCAUACUAACUGCUCCUCGUGUUGCGGAGAGGAAAGGACGUGCGCGACACUAGAAGAAGCCAACGAGUAGAAGAAAAAGGAGGAG